rnacentral:rRNA from 1 species
AUUGAACGCUGGCGGCAUGCCUUACACAUGCAAGUCGAACGGCAGCACGGGUGCUUGCACCUGGUGGCGAGUGGCGAACGGGUGAGUAAUACAUCGGAACGUACCUUAUCGUGGGGGAUAACGCAGCGAAAGCUGUGCUAAUACCGCAUACGCCCUGAGGGGGAAAGCGGGGGAUCGCAAGACCUCGCGCGAUUAGAGCGGCCGAUGCCUGAUUAGCUUGUUGGUGGGGUAAAAGCCCACCAAGGCGACGAUCAGUAGCUGGUCUGAGAGGACGAUCAGCCACACUGGGACUAAGACACGGCCCAGACUCCUACGGGAGGCAGCAGUGGGGAAUUUUGGACAAUGGGGGCAACCCUGAUCCAGCAAUGCCGCGUGAGUGAAGAAGGCCUUCGGGUUGUAAAGCUCUUUUGUCAGGGAAGAAACACCGGCUCUAACACAGUCCGGGGAUGACGGUACCUGAAGAAUAAGCACCGGCUAACUACGUGCCAGCCGCCGCGGUAA